rnacentral:lncRNA from 1 species
UGUCCUUCCUCGCACUCUUCUUUCUAGAAUUUUCUUUCACUAUUACUUUGUUAAUCAUUCACCAUUUGCUAAUGAUUUCUAGCUGUAAUUGUAUACCAUUAGUAGCAGAACUCUCUCACAAUCUUUUUCAUACCCUUCAUAUCUUCUUUUACGAAUUUUGUUUUUUCUUAUCUCUAAUCAGACUUUGAACACAAUUUUGUAAUUCACAAUUUGGGACAAACUUGUAUGUUGCUUUUUGUUGAAUGAAUUCUUGGAGCAGCAAUCGUCUACCGGGAUAGAGUAUUCUCGGAUCUUUCGAACUGUUGAACAUGAAUAUUGAGGUAUAUCCUUUCAAUUGUUAUUUUUGAAGGGUUUAUAUGUUAUUUUUUCCUUUUUAAUAUGUCAUAAUCAAUCCUCUGAAGGUCGAUUCUCUGCUAAUUUUGAGGUAUAACCCCCUUGAAAUGUUGUAAUAUUUUAAAGUUUAAAACAGGUGAAAUUUAAAAAAAAGUACGACCCAGUACAAUACCACUCAGUGGUGUCUGGGUACGGUAGUGUGUACGCAGCCUUACCCCUACCCUGGGGUAGAGAGGCUGUUUCCAAAUAGACCCCCNNNNNNNNNNNNNNNNNNNNNNNNNNNNNNNNNNNNNNNNNNNNNNNNNNNNNNNNNNNNNNNNNNNNNNNNNNNNNNNNNNNNNNNGCAUAAAUCCCCAGAAUUUGCUCCUGGGGAGACUCGAACUCACAACCUCUCGGUUGUAAGUGAGGGUUGGUUACCAUCAGACCAAGCCCCUCUUGUCAAAGAGAAACAGGUGAAAUUUACUAAUUGUUAAUUUAAAAUUUUGAUGUAUAACCCCUUUUAGAAUUUGAUUUGCAUUGCCGGACUGCAUUCCACAUUGACUCCUCCUCAAUGCUCUUAUAGUCCUCUUCUUGCGCUCACUGAUUUUUGUGUUUUCAUUGUUUCUCUUUUGAUUCUUCUUCCAAUCUCCUCUUGAAUGAGGUUCAAAGUUGAUUCCAUGAUUAGAAAUGGCAGCUUUUGCAUUUUUGAUUCCUUUAUUUUAUUAUUUUGACUAUUAAAAUACUUUUAGGAGUCACGUAAUAUGCAUAGUGGGUUGUCAAUGCGUAAUCAGUGCAGUGUAAGGAAUUUUAGGAUCAUAAAUGUUAUAAUUGGUGGUUAGUUUUUGAAUUUUAUGGUUAACUAGAAAAAAAUUGAGAAGAUGUGGAGGUUGUUUUUCUUAACGCCAUUUACUUGCUUCAGUGGCUGCCAUGUGAAUAGCACAAAUAUGUUUCUAUGGAUCAGUUACCUUAUAAUCAUGAUUGUUGUUGAAUUAGGAACUUCACAUUUCAAUAUAAGUAUUUUUUUUUAAUUCACAACUCAGAGUUUUCAUUCUUACCAAAUAAAAACUAUGGAUUCAGUGGUACAACGUCCACCUAUUUGAACUUGCGGGAUGUGCAUAUCAUAUUUCAACUAUAAUUUAGCUUAUCGGCGACAUAACCAAUGCUCACAUAAGAUAUUAAAAAGUAUAAAUAAUUUUAUGCCUUGUUCUCUCUUUUCUUUUUUUAAGUUGUCUUCAAGAAUUUUUUUAAUUAAAUUUAUAUUUUGGGUUCUGAACUGCUAUUCCUUUUGGGUAUCUGUUACUUUCAGUUAAAAGUUAUAAUGAGAAACAAGCUGCUAAUGACAAGCUACGUAAAAGAAAUAUUUGUAUAACUUGUCUGUCUGUUGAUUCUGAGAAGCAACUAAAUCUUUUUACUUAGCUCCAUACUUUUUCAUUAGUCAAACUUCUCAAGAGGAUUUUGAUCAAGUGUUGUUAGCCUAUUAACAUUUGUCUAUGACAAUACAUUUAAGUCCUACUAGUUAUAGUUGAACAAUAAGUUAUGCAAAAGAAUAACAUGUUGCAACAUUAGGUAUUACAACAAGCUGUAAUUCAAGUACAUGAUUUUUGAAAAAACUACAGAAUAGUAAUUUAUGGAGUUAAGAUUGUUAUUUAACAUAGCAAAAAGAUCUAGGAAGAGAUAAUGCUGCGAAUGAUUACGUUAGCACUUUGGUUUAUAUUGGAUUCACUAUUUACUCGUUAUUUCUUUAUAAUUAACAAUAUGUCUGCUAAUUUGUUGUUCUCGAUUAUAGGAACCACAUAUGGCAGAGAAGAAUACAAUAAGCUCAAAAGUUUCAAACAUAUAGAGAAAAGGUAGUUUCCUAUUGUGCGCAACAGUUGAAUACGACCAAAAUAUGAAGUUCAUAUGACUUAGAGUCAACUCAUUAAUUGGUCUCCCUGAUCUUUUUUUGGGCUAAAAACAUCUUGCUAUUUUAGUGAUUGAGUUUAGAAUAAUGUAUGUAUACUUCUUUCUCCUCCAUUUGAAAUCAUUAAAAGUAAAUAAAAGUUGGCAUGUGUAUUGCUAUAACUUGAAUUUACUGGGAUCACUUUGUGAGUAUAAUACUUAUCUAGCUCAUCUUAUGAAUGCCACUUCUCUCUUAAUAGUUUUUCUUAUAUCAUCUCAAUUAUUGAAGUUAUCAUCCUCUGAAGCCGUCUCUACCCUACCUUAUAAUUACCACACUUUCUUUUGAUAAUUCUCCCCCUCAAUUACUGAAGUUAUAACCUUUUCAAGUUGUAAUUUGAGUCCUCUAGACAUAUUUUGCUGCAAUUUAUAUAUUUUUUUUCCUUGACACGCGUAACAUCUGUAAUAUUUGUAAAUGCCUUCAAAAUGCCUUUCCUUCUUUUACUUUCAGAUUUGUCAUUAUUUUUCUGUAUACUCAGAGCUUAUAUUUUUUUUGUCUGUGGAUUAGUGUACCCAUUUUGUCUUAUUUUUUUCCCCAUGUUCAGUAGUUACAUGUGCAGAUACAACUUAUCUUUCUUCCUCCCUGCCUCCCUUUUCCCUCCUUAGAAAUACUAGCACACAUCCAUAGUUCUUCUGAUGGGGUUUUAUGUUUGUACUUGUGCCAGUUUUAUGUCUUACAUAAUAAGACCAUAUAUUCUUCUAAAAGCAUCCUUGACACAUAUAAUUAAUUGAUAUAAUGUAUACUAUCACUUCUACUUGAUUAUGAAAUUAUUUUUUAUUUUUGAUUAAUAAUUAAUUCAUGAUACAGGGUCUCGAGCAAUGAUGAAUACAUCAAUGCCAGCUUGGGAGUGGUGUUGAGGUUGAUCCAAGAGCACAUUCACAUGAUAUCCUAAAACUUUGAUUGACCAAAUCAAUAUUUUUUACCAGCUUUCUUAAAGAAGCUUACAAGACAAUUUAUCAGGACUUGUGAUCAUGCAAUCGAAACUGAGUGAUUCAGGCUACAAGCUACUUGAAAGGUCAAGACGUCAAGCUCCUACGAUUUGGAGGAAAUGAAUGGUAAUGAAAGUCAGUAGGUUAAGUAUUUGACAUAUGAUUCAUGGAUACUACAUCAGAUGGUGUUUACUACUCCGCAUAAUAGAAUAAUGAACCUCGAAUAUUUCAUAUUUGGGUAAUGAAUAUUGGGAUUAGUCCUUUCAUAUUGGGUAAUGAAACAUUGGUUACUUCC